rnacentral:rRNA from 1 species
GACGUAGGGUGCCAGCGUUGUUCGGAAUUACUGGGUGUAAAGGGUUCGUAGGCGGUGCGGCAAGUCGGGAGUGAAAUCUCUGGGCUUAACCCAGAGGCUGCUUCCGAAACUGCUGUGCUUGAGUGUGGGAGAGGCGCGUGGAAUUGCAGGUGUAGCGGUGAAAUGCGUAGAUAUCUGCAGGAACACCCGUGGCGAAGGCGGCUCACUGGUCCAUUACUGACGCUGAGGUGCGAAAGCGUGGGGAGCAAACAGG